rnacentral:rRNA from 1 species
UCUACAACCCUUUGUGAACAUACCUAUAACUGUUGCUUCGGCGGGUAGGGUCUCCGUGACCCUCCCGGCCUCCCGCCCCCGGGCGGGUCGGCGCCCGCCGGAGGAUAACCAAACUCUGAUUUAACGACGUUUCUUCUGAGUGGUACAAGCAAAUAAUCAAAACUUUUAACAACGGAUCUCUUGGUUCUGGCAUCGAUGAAGAACGCAGCGAAAUGCGAUAAGUAAUGUGAAUUGCAGAAUUCAGUGAAUCAUCGAAUCUUUGAACGCACAUUGCGCCCGCCAGCAUUCUGGCGGGCAUGCCUGUUCGAGCGUCAUUUCAACCCUCAAGCUCUGCUUGGUGUUGGGGCCCUACAGCUGAUGUAGGCCCUCAAAGGUAGUGGCGGACCCUCCCGGAGCCUCCUUUGCGUAGUAACUUUACGUCUCGCACUGGGAUCCGGAGGGACUCUUGCCGUAAAACCCCCCAAUUUUCCAAAGGUUGACCUC